rnacentral:rRNA from 1 species
AGUGAACGCUGGCGGUAGGCCUAACACAUGCAAGUCGAACGGCAGCACAGUAAGAGCUUGCUCUUACGGGUGGCGAGUGGCGGACGGGUGCGGAAUACAUCGGAAUCUACUUUUUCGUGGGGGAUAACGUAGGGAAACUUACGCUAAUACCGCAUACGACCUACGGGUGAAAGCAGGGGAUCUUCGGACCUUGCGCGAUUGAAUGAGCCGAUGUCGGAUUCGCUAGUUGGCGGGGUAAAGGCCCACCAAGGCGACGAUCCGUAGCUGGUCUGAGAGGAUGAUCAGACAGACUGGAAGUGAGACACGGUCCACACUCCGACGGGGAGACGCAGUGGGGAAUAUUGCACGAUGGGGGCGAGCCUGAUACAGCCAUACCGCGUGGGUGAAGAAGGCCUUCGGGUUGGAAAGCGCUGUUGUUGGGAAAGAAAAGCAGCAGGUUAAUACCCCGCGGUUCUGACGGUACCGAAAGAAUAAGCACCGGCUAACUUCGUG